UAACGUAGCGAAAGUUACGCUAAUACCGCAUAUUCUGUGAGCAGGAAAGCAGGGGAUCGCAAGACCUUGCGCUCUGGGAGCGGCCGAUGUCGGAUUAGCUAGUUGGUGGGUAAAGGCCUACCAAGGCGACGAUCCGUAGCGGGUCUGAGAGGAUGAUCCGCCACACUGGGACUGAGACACGGCCCAGACUCCUACGGGAGGCAGCAGGUGGGGAAUUUUGGACAAUGGGCGGAAGCCUGAUCCAGCCAUGCCGCGUGAGUGAAGAAGGCCUUCGGGUUGUAAAGCUCUUUCGGCGGGAAGAAAUUGCACGGGUUAAUACCCUGUGUAGAUGACGGUACCCGAAUAAGAAGCACCGGCUAACUACGUG
rnacentral:rRNA from 1 species